CUCAGGACGAACGCUGGCGGCGUGCCUAAUACAUGCAAGUCGAGCGGACGAAUCGAAAGCUUGCUUUUGAUUCGUUAGCGGCGGACGGGUGAGUAACACGUGGGCAACCUGCCCUGUAGACGGGGAUAACACCGAGAAAUCGGUGCUAAUACCGGAUAACACGAAAUGUCGCAUGACGUUUCGUUGAAAGACGGCGCAAGCUGUCGCUACAGGAUGGGCCCGCGGCGCAUUAGCUAGUUGGUGAGGUAACGGCUCACCAAGGCGACGAUGCGUAGCCGACCUGAGAGGGUGAUCGGCCACACUGGGACUGAGACAC
rnacentral:rRNA from 1 species